rnacentral:rRNA from 1 species
UCGAACGCUGGCGGCGUGGCUAAGGCAUGCAAGUCGAACGGACGUACGUUGGGGGUAACUCUGAUGUACGUUAGUGGCGGACGGGUGAGUAAUAGAAGGAUAACGUACCCUGGACUCGGGAAUAGCGGCGGGGGCAACCCCUUUGCGAAAGUGCCGGUAAUACCCGAUGACCCCGCGGGGCCGCAUGGUCCUGCGGGCAAAGCUCCGACGGUCCGGGAUCGGUCCUUUUCCUAUCAGCUAGUUGGUAGGGUAACGGCCUACCAAGGCAACGACGGGUAGGGGGCGUGAGAGCGUGGCCCCCCACAUCGGGACUGAGACACUGCCCGGACACCUACGGGUGGCUGCAGCAACGAAUCUUCCGCAAUGGGCGCAAGCCUGACGGAGCGACGCCGCGUGCAGGAGGAAGUCCUUCGGGAUGUAAACUGCUGUCAGGGGCUGGAAAGUUCUGAUCGGCCCCGGAGGAAGCCCCGGCUAACUACGU